rnacentral:sRNA from 1 species
CCAUAGCCCUGAUAGAAGUGGAAAUCCUUGUGGACCGGGGUUCGGUCCACAAGAUUGUAACGGAGAGUGGGAAAUAGC